rnacentral:rRNA from 1 species
GAUGAACGCUGGCGGCGUGCCUAAUACAUGCAAGUCGAGCGAACGGACGAGAAGCUUGCUUCUCUGAUGUUAGCGGCGGACGGGUGAGUAACACGUGGAUAACCUACCUAUAAGACUGGGAUAACUUCGGGAAACCGGAGCUAAUACCGGAUAAUAUUUUGAACCGCAUGGUUCAAAAGUAAAAGACGGUCUUGCUGUCACUUAUAGAUGGAUCCGCGCUGCAUUAGCUAGUUGGUAAGGUAACGGCUUACCAAGGCAACGAUGCAUAGCCGACCUGAGAGGGGGAUCGGCCACACUGGAACUGAGACACGGUCCAGACUCCUACGGGAGGCAGCAGUAGGGAAUCUUCCGCAAUGGGCGAAAGCCUGACGGAGCAACGCCGCGUGAGUGAUGAAGGUCUUCGGAUCGUAAAACUCUGUUAUUAGGGAAGAACAUAUGUGUAAGUAACUGUGCACAUCUUGACGGUACCUAAUCAGAAAGCCACGGCUAACUGCGUG